AAGCAGUAUUUAAAAGUAUUGGGAUUGAACUUGCUGUCUCUCAAGUAUUGUGGCUGCAAAGGUCAAUGACAGCAGAAUGGAAGAGGAACUGAAUACUUGCAUCUCAAAGACACAGCAAUUGUUGUCAGAGGCUGAGUCCCUUCUGAAAGACAUAGAGGAGAUGCUUGACUGGUUUCCAAAAAAGAUUCCCUCCAGCAAUGCAUUGGAAGGUCAGGCAGACGUAGAAGAGGUCCCAGAAAUCUCUAUCAUUGACAACUUCUGUUUUGUGAAUGCAGCAACUGAGGAGGCCCUGAUGGAACAGAACUGAAUGCAUGAUCAGUUAAACUUUUUGAAGUUUGUGAUGUUUUAAUUUUUAAUUUUAUGUUUCUUUAUUUUGGAACCGAGUUAGUCAGAGUUGGAGCUUAUAUUUCGCUCAGUCUUGUUACAUUUCUAAUCCUCCUUCAUUUAUGUUGGAUUAUUUUGUUAUACAGUUAGAGAUACAACUUCACCAUCUUAACAGAAUAAGAUAUAAAAAAAAAUGACAUGGGUUAAUUUGUCAAUAUCUGUGGAGGGUUUGAGGUUCUAUGAAGACAGAGCAGUUUGUACAUUCCAAACAUCCCUGUAGCACCUCACAUCAUCCUGGGUGACACAUGAACAUAGUUUUUCUCUCUUCUACAACGACCUAUAUGCUGGGUUCAAAGAAAUAGCAUGGGGAUCUAACACUCCCCCCCAAUAGUUAUUUCCCAGUUACUUUAUAGGAAUUAUUUUUAAAGAUCCAUAACAGACAUCCAGGGUCUUACUUCCCCUUAAUGGGCAAUUAAAAUAUUGCGGGAAACUGCUAAAUGACUCUCUCCAAUUACAGUGAUUAAAGUCUCCCAUUAUGAAAUUUGGGUCAUUUGGAGCAAGAGCCGAUUAGUACUAUUUGUGUACAACUUUGACGGUGUAAAACUUUAUGGAUAACAUUAUCAGCAUAUUUAAUUUUGGUCCUAGGAAUAAUCAGAGGAAAUUCACAAGGGAGAAGAAAGGGCAAACUAAUACAGAAAGGAGCUCAAUGUCCACGGUGCAAAUGUUCUCACUACUGGUCACAUUGUGACUACAAUGCUGGUCUAUGCAGACAGGAUAGGAGAGGCUUAGUCAUAGCCUCA